AACGAACGCUGGCGGCGUGGCUAAGGCAUGCAAGUCGAACGAACAUAUUCCAAGGGGUAACUGAGGGAUAUGUUAGUGGCGAACGGGUGAGGAAUACAUGGACAACGUACCCUGGACUCGGGGAUAGCGGCGGGCCGCAAGGCUCUUUAGCGAAAGUGCCGGUAAUACCCGAUGACCCCGCGUGAUCGCAUGAUCGAGCGGGCAAAGCUCCGACGGUCCGGGAUCGGUUCAUGUCCAUCAGCUAGUUGGUGAGGUAACGGCUCACCAAGGCGGCGACGGGUACCGGGCGUGAGAGCGUGACCCGGNACAUCGGAACUGAGAUACGGUCCGGACNCCUAGGGUGGUUGCAGCAACGAAUAUUCCGCAAUGGACGCAAGUCUGACGGAG
rnacentral:rRNA from 1 species